rnacentral:lncRNA from 1 species
GUUCCUCAACUUUCGUAGGGGAAUUGGAUAGAGAAUUGAAGAAGUCAGGCUGAGACUAUAAAACAAGCGCUUAUUGGGAGGCAACCCAAGUUUAAUUUUUAUUUUUAGUUUUUAUUAAGUUUUAUAUUAGUAGUUUUGAAUUUGCAUUUAUUUAGGAUUUAAUAAAAUUGCUUCUAUCAUGGUUUUACAGGUUAUUCAAGUCAAAUUCAAGUGUGGUGCCCAAUUUGUUCCGUGUGCUUAGCCUAUUCUACAAACUUAGCGGGCAAAGAGGAAGAUUGCUAUAUUUUCAGGGAAGUCCUCUGCUUUAAUUUUUUCUAUUGUAGCCAUUGAGGACAAUGUCUAGUUUAAGUUUGGGGGCAUUUUAGUGUCGUAUUGCAUAUAGUUAGUUAUUUACAUUAUAGUUCGUUAUGUUUUCGGGUUAUUUACAUUUAGUUUUUGCAUUCAGUUUUUUGUUUAAAAUUUUUUUUUUUUAAAAAAUCGCAAAAAUAGUAGUUAGUUUACUAUGUUUGUUGCGGUUAGUUUAUAUUUGCAUGAUUCUAACUGUUAGAUAGUAAAAGUCUAUUUUGGCCAAUGAUGAGACUGGAGUUAAGUAUAUAAGUAUAGUAUUGAAUAUUCAGGCUUUGAUGUGAUUUCUUGUUAUGAAUUGAAUCUUUUCCUGUUUGAAACUGGUAUAAUCAAGGUUAGCACAUUAAUAACAUCUAUGUUAACUGAUUAAGUUUAAAUUGAUACAUAAUGAAUUUCUUAAGGAUAAUACUAAUGUGAAGGAAUGAAAGACAUGAAUAGACGGAGAUGGCUAAAUUUUGAUAAAAACUUAAGUUUGGGGAAAUUUGGGAUAUAUAAGCUUCGCUAAAAAAAAAAGAAAAUUUUUUUACCGUGGCUAGUUUUGUUUCGGGGCCUUUGUUACUUGAGUAAGUACGCCCGAAGGGGUAUCUUAAAACCUAGCGCCCUAAGGUCUUAUAUGGUCUGGGAGUCGUUGGUCGAAAGCUCGCUAAGGGGUGACACUGUUAGCCUAAUGGAAUGAGACAUUGCACAGUUAUGGUUAAAAAAAAAACAAUAAAACGGGAAAAGAGCAAAAAGCCCCCGUAAUGAAAAGUAAAGCAUAAGUAUCCCAGAUUGGACUCUUGAACUUGGUGGAUGUUUGACUUUAGUUGGAUAUAGCUUGUUCGUGAAUUUUGUGAAUUUGCACUGUAUGAUGCCUUCAAAGAUAUCUAUUAUGUCUUAAAUUUGAUUUUAUAUCAGUUAACAUUGUUGUGGAGCACACACGCACUAUAUCAGUGAUAACAGUCUAAGAUUUGAUGAUUGAUUGGGAAAUUACUGAUUUGUUUUAAUAUGAUGUAUUAUCAUGUUUACUUGAUUUCUCUAAGGCCGGUUGAAUAGACUUGUUUCUGUCAUUACUGUUGGAUUCGUAGGCAUAUAGAUUAGUUUCAUUACAUUGCAUUGCAUAACAUUUUUGUGUUUUUGCUUGAGGACAAGCAAAGAUUUAAGUUUGGGGGUAUUUGAUGAGUGAGUUUUAUACCCAUGAAUUGG